GCAGUAUAAAAUACUUCCAUCCCAGCUAUGACGCCCUCUUGAAGUCGUUACCUCCACUCUACGAGAAACGUCUCCAACAUGAGAGCGAAGUGGAGGAAGAAGCGCAUGCGCAGGCUGAAGCGUAAAAGGAGAAAGAUGAGGCAGAGGUCAAAGUAAACUCCAACCUGUCUGCUGCAGCUGAGAUCCUGUUCAUCUUGGAUUCCUCGUGUCUUGUUAAAAGCCCAUCUGAGGUGACAUUCUAUGGUGCCUACCAUCUGCCAAGCUGACCACCUUGAUUGAGGAAGUGUCUAAUGCCUGGCUGCCCAGUUGGAGCUUUUUCUUGACCAUGUGAACUUUUUCUGGAUUUUCCAGACUAAUCAGUGCAGCGUCCUUUUGUUUAUACCUGUUCAAUAAACCUGGUUAAAAGUUUAA